UUUUUUUUAACCAGGAAAAUGAAAAUUUUUUGUAUAUAAAUGUGUAUAUAUAUAUUUGGAAAAUUGAAUACAAGGCUUAGAUUGUUAGAUAUGCUUCCAAUUUUAGCCUAUAUACAUCAGAUCCAAUUGAACACAGAUGGGAUAGCAUUACAAUCAGGACAGUGCACAACUGCACAUAAACCAGUCCUCCCUCAACACCUCCGCCAUCAACAGCCAACUAGAUGACAAGGUUAAAAUUUCACAGCAGGUGCCUGCCAUCCACAGAUUCUGUUGCUGCAAGUAUCUUGAGAAAAAAAGAAAACACUUGCAGGAGAUGCAAAAUUCAAACAUCUCCAUCCCGAAUUCUUCUAUGCUAGAUGUAAAAUUAGGGACUGAAACUACCUAACUGGAUUAUCAUCACACUUAUAUCAUCAAUUGAGCCCCUCCUUGAUGACAAUUCACUCAGCUUUUUACAAGCAGAG
rnacentral:misc_RNA from 1 species